GAGGCGGGACUCACCUCCCCCGAUUUGAACUAGGAUUUUCUGUCGGCCGAUGACACCACAGCGAGACGAACCGGUUGACACUUGACAGGAAAGCAACAAGAGUGACCCUGACAGCCAGGAGAGGAGAGGCUGUUGACAAGUUGUGUUCACAUUUUUGUUUAUUCCAAUCGACUUUGUAUUAUUAUUAUUUUUUAAUUGAAGAGUACAGCGGUGAAAUGGCUGCGCUGUAUGCCUGCACGAAGUGUAACCAAAGAUGCCCGUUCGAGGCGCUGUCUCAGGGACAGCAGCUGUGCAAGGAGUGUCGAAUUGCACAUCCUAUGGUUAAGUGCACGUACUGCAGGACAGAGUUUCAGCAGGAAAGUAAAACCAACACCAUCUGUAAGAAAUGUGCACAGAACGUGAAACUGUAUGGCACACCCAAACCCUGCCAGUACUGUAACAUAAUCGCCACGUUCAUCGGUAACAAAUGCCAGCGCUGCACAAACUCAGAGAAGAAGUACGGCCCCCCCCACACGUGCGAGCAGUGCAGGCAGCACUGUGCCUUCGACAGGAAGGACGACAGGAAGAAGGUGGACGGGAAGCUGCUGUGCUGGCUCUGCACCCUCUCCUACAAGAGGGUCCUCCAGAAGACCAAAGAGCAGCGCAAGCACCUGAGCUCCUCCUCUCACACAGCCCUGCAGGAGAAGGAGCAGCUCACCUGGCUCAGCGAUGCCAGCCACUACAACAGUCAGAAGACUUUGUCCACCUCGUCCAUUCAGAAUGAAAUUCCAAAGAAAAAGCCCAAGUUUGACGCCAUCAUAGCCAAUGGGGACAGCUUCUCCCCGGACCUGGCCCUGGACUCCCCCGGCACAGACCACUUUGUCAUCAUGUCCCAGCUGAAGGAGGAGGUGGCCACGCUCAAGAAGAUGCUGCACCAGAAAGACCAGCUCAUCCUGGAGAAGGAGAAGAAGAUCACAGAGCUGAAGGCUGAAUUCCAGUACCAGGAGAAUCAGAUGAGGUCCAAGAUGAACCAGAUGGAGAAAAUGCACAAGGAGGUUGUGGAGCAACAGCAGGCCCGCAACAGGGAGCUCAUGAAGCAGGUGGCCGCUCUGUCGAAAGGGAAAAAGCCAGAGAAAGCAGGAGCAAUGACAUCACCCUGAGACCGACAAGACAGCUCAGCUCUCCACCACAAGAGGGCAAGGCUGGUGCUGUACAGUCACUAUGAAAUACACACCUGGAGGUCCUGAGUGUCUCCCUGGUAGAAGCUCAGCCGUGUGGUUUGCACGGUGAGUCAUACAGUCGGGAGCACAGGUUCUUGUCCUGGCUGCGCAGAGUCGCCGGUCUUCGCUGGGGAUUCUGGAGGGAGCGUUGCAUUGGCUCUGGCCCUCCCGCUGGUUAGGGAGGCAAAGCCAGGACUGUUUCUCCUCAUCGCGCUACAGCGGACCCUACUGGCCAGGUGCCCAGUGAGCUCAGGCAGGACCUGCAGGGCUGGCCUUUGUCCUCCAGGGGCCGGUAGCUCGCUGACCCGCUCUCGAGUUCCUGGGUGUAGAAGAGGAAGCUGGCUUGGUCGUGGGAUCAGAGGACGCCCGCUGAACCUUCAGUUCUGCUGAGCUGUGAGGGGAAUUGGAAAUUCUAAAUUGGCAAGAAAAUUGGGGGUAAAAUAAUUGGGCAGCACUGUAAAUUUAAAAAUAAAUAAAAAAUGCACACCUUUUUAUUCCCAUUAAAAUUCUGCGUAGUUACCAAUGAUGAGGUUUCAAUGUGUUCUGUGAGGGUUUACUUCCUAAAUGCUCUUUGUGAUGUCUGUGCUGUGAAUAAAUACAUGCAGAUCAGAUCGACCCUUUACAUACUAACUUUUUAUCUGAAGCCUGACAUUUCUUUCCGUUUGGUCAAAUGUCUGGUUUCACUUACGUACUGUGUCGUUGUCACCUGAAUUCGGUUUUCUCCUUUUGUUUUCUCUGUGUUUAAACCUGCAUGGGUCUCAGGUAUGCACUUUGUAAUAUGGUGGCUUUUAAACAUACAUACAGGUAUGUAGUGUAUAGUAUUUUAUAAAACAGAUGCUAUUUCUAAUGCCCUUGCCAAGGAACUUAGAGAGCAAUAUUGGGAUUUCUGUGUUCUGUUUAUAUACUCUGUUACAGACUAGGCCUACAUUGAACACGUAGGUAAAGGGUGCUAUUGUAUACUGGUAUAAUAUACAGAAUAUUGGCUGUACUGCAGUUUUCUGUAUUUAAUAAAGUACAUUUAUCCUCGCU